UCAGUGACACUGGAGCAGAUUAUCCAGAAUCCAACGUGCUGACUAUAGUGUCCACCGUAUCUUCUCUGCUAGAGGCCGGGAUUUUAUACAUCAUCUACAAGUCCAUGGAGAUCAAGGCCCUGAAGAGAAGCCUUUGUGGAAUCACCUACCAAACAUGGCUGCUGACAUUCGGGUGGAUGACCUGUAUUGGAAACAUCAUAACCUCAUUGAUACAGGUUUGUUUAUACAGAUUCUGUGGUGUUAGGGCCCCUUAGCUGGUCACCUAUGAAGCCCCCUUACCCAGGAGAAGAGCAGCACAGCUGGGGCCAUGUAUUGUCAGAUAACCUGCUGAUCUGUAGGUCUUGGGACAGAAUGGGCCUGAGCUCACACCCCCUCACAAUGAUACAUAAGGCCCAGUAUAAGAAUACAGAUAAUAUAAUAACACCAUUGGCAGAUGUAGGAUUAUCCUGUAUACUUACCAUUGGCAGAUAUUAAGUAUCCAGGACAAUCAUAUAUCUGCUAAUGGUGUAUAAUGAUAUGGAGUUAUAUGUGUUGUCUGAUGAUAGGUCAUCUAGGACAGGAUAUGUAUAUUGUGAAAUGUCAUAUUUUCUUUGUUUUCCUCUAGGAUUCAGCAAUGCUCAAUAACAGCUGCCUGGCGGUUUUAUCCAGUACCAUCAUCUACGGUGGUUUAUCUGUGGCAUCUCAGCUGUAUCCAGGCUCCAGGGACCGGAGAUGUAGGCGCCUUACCACCACGGUGCUGUCGGUGACCAUCUUGCUGGCAAACAUUAGCCGGUUAUCCUGUAAAAUGAUGGCAUUAUACACCUGUACAAGCGAGUUCUGCACACAGUCUUCCAGAAUUAUGCUGACCAUCCUGGAGUGGGUUGUAUUGGUCUGCUCAUGUAUAAGCCAGAUACUGCUGUAUUGGGACUUCCCGGUCAGUAUAUGAAAUCCAGAUUUACAAAUAAAAAUACACAGCACUCCCAAAACUGUGAAAAAUCAACAUGAAUACAUUUAAUGCAUAAGACCUGCUGUGGAGGGUGAGGGAGCAGGCCCUCCAGCGGGGUCCCUGGUGGCUGGAGCAGCAGCUGUCCUCUCUUUUCCCUCCUGCUGCGCUCCAGUGGGGGGAGCCCGGGCUCCGGUCCAGCGGCCGGCGCUCUCACCGGAGUUCUCCCCAUGCUCCCGGCGUUGGCGGGUGAGUCCCUCUGGAUCUCCACAGUAGUGGUGGCCUCGGGAAGGGGAGGCGAUGUGCACCUGGCGGACGCGGCGAGAGGCGAGGUAUACAUCUGCCCUUUGGGGGCACACCUCAAGGCUGAGGUCCAGGAAAAGAUUUGGAAGAGGGAGUACGUGGAUAUUUUUUCCCUACUGCCUCUUGAGAAAUUUAAUUUGGACAAGGUCUGGCUAGACGAGGGUAAGCGGAUGGAGAAGGUAGAGGAGGAGGAACGUCGGCGGUAUCAGCUGAUUCCGCGGACCUUCUCAAAUUGGUUGCAGGCAUUCGCCAUCUUGGUCAGUGUGGUGGGGGAGAAAUCACUGGAGCACUGCUCCGGUCUGUUCUGCUAUAUGGAUGCUGUGUGGGAGGCGUACCGGGUUUAUGGGGGGACGGCGUGGCUGUGAUACGACAAACUAUUUCGGCAGCGGAUGGCGGUGCGUCCCUCACUGCGCUGGGAUCAUAAGAACAUAGGGCCGUGGAUGCGGCUUAUGGUGGCUCCUCAGGAUGGGGAGGGCUUGCAGUCCUUUCGUGAUAGUGCCGGCAAUUUCGGGGUCGGAGAAGGACGGUCGGCGGGGCGUGGAGUCUGCUUCAAGCAAGCAUUGUCCCGCUGUUUCCAUAAGGGGAAGGGUAGGGCUGUAGAUUUUGAGCAGAAGAGGGAUGAUGCCGGUUCAGGUGGAAAGGAUGAAGCCUUUCCUCGCCCUGUACCCAAAUAGGGCAGUGGCGGAAGUGUUGCAGCUUGGUUUUUCGGAAGGCUUUCGUAUUCUGUGUUCGGAGGUGGUGCCGGCGGUCAUGGAGGAGAAGUUGCUUAAAGAGGUGCGGUUGGGCAGGAUGGCUGGGCUGUUUGAUCUCUCCUUUGGGGCUGGUGCCCAAGAAGGAGCCCAAUAAGUUUAGCCUUAUUCACCACCUCUCGCAUUCGGCGGGGGGGCGGGGGUGGUCGGUGAAUGAUGGUAUUGAUCCGUCCCUCUGUGCUGUGUCAUAUACCUCUUUUGAUGCGGCCUUGGUGUGGGUACGGUGUUACGGGCGGGGGGCUCUUUUGGAGAAAACGGAUGUUGAGGCGGCUUUCCGUUUGUUGCCAGUACAUCUGGACAGUUUUUCUUUGUUGGGUUGUUGCUUGGGGAAUCGUUUUUUUGUGGACCUUUGUCUGCCUAUGGGGUGCUCCAUUUCGUGCGCAUAUAUUUGAAUAGUUCAGUACCUUCUUGGAAUGGGAGUCUCAGGUGGACUCUGUUUUGCACUACCUGGACGACUUUCUGUUUUUGGGCCCGGUGGGGUCCCGGGGCUGUGCUGUGUUGCUACAAGUGAUGGAGCAGGUGUCGCGUUGGUUUGGCGUGCCGUUGGCACCGGAAAAGACAGAGUGGCCGGCCACGACAGUUCCAUUUUUGGGUAUCGUGAUCGAUACCCUGGCUAUGGAGUGACGGCUGCCAGAGGAGAAGUUGGGUGAGCUGAGGAAGGCGGUGGCAUGUGCGUGUCAGGCGCACAAGUUGCAGUUACGGGAAGUUCAGUCUCUGCUGGGCCGUCUCAAUUUUGCUUGUCGGAUCAUGCCUAUGGGGAGGGUUUUUUUUGCCACCGCUGGGCCUCAGCUACUGCGGGUGUUGUCAGGCGGGGUUGCGUGCCGAUUUGGGCGUCUGGCUAAAAUUUCUGGCCCGCUAUAACGGGCGGUCAGUGGCGAUGGACCGACCAGUCUCAAUUAGUCACCUGGAGCUGUUCACUGACGCUGUGGGUGGUUGUGGGGCGUAUUUGCAGGGUCAGUGGCCGACGGCGUGGCGGGAGAAGGGUCUUACUCGGAAUUUUGCCCUGCUGGAGCUUUUUCCGAUUGUAGUGGCCGUGGAGGUGUGGGGGCUCUGUUCUGCGAUCGGAAAAUUUGUUUCCAUUGCGACAACAUGGAGGUAGUUCAGGCUAUUAACAGUUAGACGGCGAGCUCGCCGUCGGUGGUUAGUUUGUUUCGCCAUUUAGAGCUUCGGAGUUUGGAGCUUAAUUGACACCUGGUCGCCUUACAUGUGCCUGGGGUUGCUAACCCCCUCAUCUCGGUUGCAGUGGGACUGGUUUCGAGAGCUGGCGCCAGAGGCCGAGGAAUG